rnacentral:lncRNA from 1 species
GAGCAUCUGGUUAUUCAAGGCCUCUCCAGUGUCUCUCCUAUGUCUGAGACAUAGUGGCAAGCUGAUAAGGCUGUACAGUGGCAAGGGCAAAGGAGAUCUUAACCCUUAGUCCAAUUUAAGGAUGAUGAAUUGAGGUUUUUUACCAACAAGGCAGAGGAUCAGAGAUGUCUUGCUUCAGCUCCUCCCACGGUUCGUAUUGUGCACUCAGGCUUGGCCUGUAACAUUGAAGAGGAGCGCUACUCCGAAAGGGUCUACACUAUCCGGGAAGGAGAAACCCUUGAGUUGACUUGUCUAGUCACAGGACAUCCACGUCCACAGACAUGGAAUAGAAAUUUCAGAAUCAAAAGUUGGGAUCUAAACAGGAGGGUCUAAACACAUCCAAAAGAAGCCUUGAAGAGCUUUAUGAGAGGCAGUUUAUGGCAAGAGAAGACUCAUUGAGGUUCCCAUUAGUCCCACAAAGAGUGUACUAAAUUUACACCUUCUGAACUCCAAAUUAUAUUUUAAAAUGCAA